rnacentral:rRNA from 1 species
AGUGAACGCUGGCGGUAGGCCUAACACAUGCAAGUCGAACGGCAGCACAGGAGAGCUAGCUCUCUGGGUGGCGAGUGGCGGACGGGUGAGGAAUACAUCGGAAUCUACUUUUUCGUGGGGGAUAACGUAGGGAAACUUACGCUAAUACCGCAUACGACCUACGGGCGAAAGCAGGGGACCUUCGGGCCUUGCGCGAUUGAAUGAGCCGAUGUCGGAUUAGCUAGUUGGCGGGGUAAAGGCCCACCAAGGCGACGAUCCGUAGCUGGUCUGAGAGGAUGAUCAGCCACACUGGAACUGAGACACGGUCCAGACUCCUACGGGAGGCAGCAGUGGGGAAUAUUGGACAAUGGGCGCAAGCCUGAUCCAGCCAUACCGCGUGGGUGAAGAAGGCCUUCGGGUUGUAAAGCCCUUUUGUUGGGAAAGAAAUCCAGCUGGCUAAUACCCGGUUGGGAUGACGGUACCCAAAGAAUAAGCACCGGCUAACUUCGUGCCAGCCGCCGCAGUAA